rnacentral:lncRNA from 1 species
CCGCUGGCCUCCUUUUCCCCUGCCCCCUCCCUCCGCUCCUCAACGCCCGCCGGGUGCAAUCUGCUCUCUCCGGGAGACGAACGCGAAGCGACGUGGAAACCCUUCCACCAAAAUGAGCUGUGAUAUCCUUUUGAUGGCUAUAAUUUAUUCCAAAUCGUCCCUGGACUGAAACGAUCAAUUAGCAGCCCGAAACGCACUGUGAAGUAAAUUGUCACACUCUCUAUUACAGGAUGGUUAUCAUAUAUUUAUAAGAGUUACACCUGCCAUCUAGCAAAACAGACCUCACCCAAGGUCAAUGAUGGCUGCUAACCUUGGGGUUGAUGGGGGAAGGUGGAUGCAGCAGACCCCAGGGAAAACAGAGCACCGUGAGGAGGAGCCAGAGGAGGCCGGAGGCCCUUGUCUCAGACAUCCAGCUCUGAGAGUGAAAUGUUGCUUCCUAAUGGACUUUAAAUUACCAACAUCGCUAAACUCUCUCUUAAUAGACUUGUAAAGAUUUGCUUGCUACCUUUUUCCUCCUUCAUGUAGAAUUUGUAAUCAAGAGCCCAAUUUUGUCAUUUGGAAAUACUAAUUAUCUAAUCACGGCAUGCUGUAUAACGUACUUGUCUGCCCAAUUAGCUAGGACAAUUAUUAAAAUUCAGAGGCCUAAUUAUGUCUCAAUUUAAUGCUGGCAAACUUGCAUACAGAGCAGUAAUUAAAAUCCUCUCUUUCCCUCUGCCUUUAGGGCAGGGGAUGAUUAGGCCCUGUCAGGGGGUGUACUGAACCAAACCAGUGAAGCGUAUUGUGCAACAUGACCCUGCAUUGUUAAGUGUGUCAACAUAUUAACCUGAAUUCCCUUCAGCCCCCACAUAAUCACAUUUGGUGGAAGAAUGAAGGAGCUAAAACAUGAAGCAUUUUUUUAAAAAAACAUAAAUUCAUUUUAAUUAAUGCUGUGAGAGUUCUGGUGAAUUUCACGUUUCCAAGUGCUGGAAGACGUAAGACUGGUUCAUCUAAUUACUAGCAAAUUUGUUCUUGUAAAAACUACUUUUUUUACUCAUUUAAAUAAAAUAAUUUUUGGGGGUAGCAUUAAAAAAAAAAAGCCCUAGUUAGCUUCCAGUAAUACAGUUGAUUACCAGCUUUGAUGAUGGAACACAAGUGAAUGUUGACUUCCAAAAGAUUCAAACCCAAGACUGGAG